rnacentral:rRNA from 1 species
GAUGAACGCUGGCGGCGUGCCUAACACAUGCAAGUCGAACGCUGGAAAUCUAGCUUGCUAGAUUGAAGGAGUGGCGAACGGGUGAGUAAUACAUAAGCAACCUACCCACGAAGUCUGGGAUAAUCUCUGGAAACGGGGACUAAUACCGGAUAGGUAAUCGGAAGGCAUCUUCUGAUUAUUAAAUGUUAAAAACACUGGUGGAUGGGCUUAUGGCGCAUUAGUUAGUUGGUGAGGUAACGGCCCACCAAGACGAUGAUGCGUAGCCGGCCUGAGAGGGUGAAGGGCGACAUUGGGACUGAGACACGGCCCAGACACCUACGGGAGGCAGCAGUAGGGAAGUUUCGGCAAUGGGGGAAACCCUGACCGAGCAACGCCGCGUGAGUGAUGACGGCCUUCGGGAUGUAAGGCUCUGUUGUAAGGGAAGAACGGUAGAUAGAGAAUAUCUAAAUGACGGUACCUUACCAGAAAGCCACGGCUAACUACGUG